rnacentral:lncRNA from 1 species
UCCUCCAAUCCCACUCUUCAUUGGGAUAUAAAUUAAGGAAAACUAGCUAGCUCAAAUGAUUGAAAUAAUCAACCACCUUGAGAUAUCCCAGAAUUCUAAUCCAUCUAAGUAAACAAGUGAUUAAGCUUAUUAAUUUUUAUUUAUUCAAACUAAUCUUCAAAAGUAAACGUCGCCUUAAUAAAAGACUAAAUUAACUCGAGGUAUCCUCCCUCACCUUAUAAAUUUCUUUCAUUCACUUAACAUAUUUCUGCUUAUCUGUCUGAGAAUCCUUCUUCGAAUCCUAUCGUUCGCAUCACUGACUUAGGCAUCGGUGUCUCUCCUUGGAGACCUCCUCCGAACUUGUUUUGCAGGAUGCCUGGACGCAGCGAGAUGAUACACAAAAUCUAAUCAUCACUUCCGUCCAACCAUCCGAAGGUAGACCAUUCUAACUGUUGUGAAGUUUCCAUUUUGAAUCUUACAUUAGGUUACAACAAUUCCUUCCUCAUUUAACCCCAUCUCUCUGCUCUUCAUCCCUUUCAUGAUUCUACUACAAUGUGAAGGUAUAAACUAUAAACUACUUCAUAUUAAAUCAAACCACAACAUUUGGUAUUCUAGAGCCUCGCGGUCUUGAUCAUGGCAACUAACACCUAUUUAAAACACCUGCAAGAACCACAAAGAGGGNNNNNNNNNNNNNNNNNNNNNNNNNNNNNNNNNNNNNNNNNNNNNNNNNNNNNNNNNNNNNNNNNNNNNNNNNNNNNNNNNNNNNNNNNNNNNNNNNNNNNNNNAAAGAGAAAAUAGCUGAAAUCAAUUCAGAUGUACAAGAGGCAUGUUGGGCUUCAACACCAAGUUUGAGCAUUUUAAGGAUAGACAGCCUAAUGGUUUCAAAACAUUGAUAACUUGGUCAUAGAUCUUAGAAGUAGUUUUAGCUAGGUUUGAAAAACUAAAUGAAGCUAAGAUCAUUGCAAGAUUUAAUAAGUUGAGGAAUCCUAGCUCCUAUGCAAAAUAUGUCGAGAGAUUUGAAAAAUUAAAAGCAUGCAUGAUACUUAUUAAUUAGAGAGAUCUGAAGAAUGUUUUGUGGCUAGCUAGUGAUGUUGGUUUGAGGAGGAGCUACAAGGUUUUAACCCCCAUCUCUCUACUCUUAAGAACGAAUGAAUCUCAAAUCAAGAACGAUUGAAUCCCCAUAAAACAACAACAAUAUUUAUUAAAAUAAAUCUUUUUUACGUGCGAAUGCAUGUCAUCUCUGCUAGUUUACUGAAAAUAUGCGCUAGUGUAAAUCGUUACUCAGGACAGUUUUGUUGCAACCUCAAAAAUUCAAGCUUUUGAGUGAUAUUAUUGAUAGUUCAGGACAUAAACUAUCUACCCUUAAAUACAAAAGCAAUCAAGACAACGAAGCGCAGGGGUUCGAGUCACCAAGGGGGAAAUGAGGAACAAUUAUUGAUAUUCUUUUAAGAAAGGAAAAAAAAAUACAAAAGCAAUCAAGAGCGAAAUUUCAAUCGAGUCUUGUACCACUUAUUACUUGUAUCAAUAUAAAGCUAUAAGAGUAUAAGACCCUUAUAAAAAAUUACAUAAAACAAUAGCAAUUUGAAAUACCUGCCAGAUCGGCAUCGGCAGACAGGGGAUCACUUUUCUCUCUGGCUUGUAGUUCAACAGGAUCAUCACUUGAUUUAAUUUCAAUUGAUUCAAAAUCCGCUUCAACUACUUCUUGUGAUUUGGAUACUAAUUGUUUUUCCUUCCAUCUCAUCUUGUUCCAUAUUCUCGUAGAAUUGUCUCUCUCUGUAGGUAGAUAAGCUUAUUAAAAGAGUGGGCUAUAUAACAAGUAGAUAGUACUCCCUCCGUCCCAUUGAGCUUGUCCCAUUUGGUUUCGGCACGGUUAUUAAGGAGAAUAUUAUUAGUGUUUUAAGUGUGUAGGUAAUAAAAGUAUAAAAUUGGUAAAGUAGGAGAUGGAAGGUGAUAAAGUAGGAGAGAGAAUGUAAUAAAGUGAUAAAUAUGAGAGAGAAAAUGAUAAAGUAGGAAAGACAAUGUGAAAAAGUGAUAAAGUAUGAGAGAUAAUGUAAUUAAAAAUUCUUAUUGUUUAGUUAAUUGUUACCAUUUAUAGAAAUGAGACAAGAUCGUGGGUCAAACAAAAAAGGAAUACGGGACAAGAUCAAUGGGACGGAGGGAGUAAUAUUUUUCCAAAUGUCUCUAAUGUCCUAAAGUCCAUUUCAAAUAUAUAUUAACCAUUCCAUUGACGCACACCAAAAACGGCUCAUCAUUUAAUACUUUUCUCAAAAAUGUCUACAUUUAAAUUACAACAUUUUGGUAGCUAACCCCAACGUAUUGUGUUUCUCAAAUUCGAUUUUUUUGGAAUUUGAAAGUCGAUGUGUUGUGUGGUAGAGUAUGUGGAUUCCUAAUCCUAAAUUCACAUUUUCGUAUAUCUUUCCAUAACAAAUUCGGAUACAGUAAGCAGUGGAGCUAAUUGCUAAAACAGGACUGUAACUUUUAGUAUUUUCAUAAAAAGGACUAUAUGUUACGGAAUUUAAAAAUGAGGACUAUAUGUUAUGGAAUUUGAAAAUGAGGACUAUAGCUUCCAUUUUUUACAUUUACACUUCUAUUUCAGGCCGUGAUAGAAGCUAUAGUCCUCAUUUUGAUGUGUUAAAUAUGAGUGUAAAUAUAAAAAAUGGAAGCUAUAGUCCUUAUUUUCAAAUUUCGUAACAUAUAGUCCUCAUUUUCAAAUUCCGUAACAUAUUGUCCUCUUUCUGAAAAACACUGAAAGUUACAGGCCUAUUUUAACAAUUAGCUCGUAAACAGUGGCAUAUAACAUGUCAAGAUAAAGCUAGCUAACAUGAUGAUGAACAGAAUUUAUGCAAAUAUAAAUACAGAAAAUGGAUCAAAUGAGAAUACCCAUCUUUUGUGAUAAAUGAGAACACAUGAAUAAGCACCUAAAAUCUAUAUAUGAAUGCGAGAUGAAUAAAUUCGUGCAACACAUGAACAACCACAUUAGUUGAAUGUGUUUGUUCAUGUAUAAUUCUCGCUACACCCAUCCCAAUAAACGUAAAUAUGAAAUUACCUGCUCGCUCCGGAUCAACAAUCGGGAGAGACAUUUACACAUACUC